rnacentral:rRNA from 1 species
UACGUAGGGGGCUAGCGUUGUCCGGAAUCAUUGGGCGUAAAGCGCGUGUAGGCGGUCCGGUAAGUCCGCCGUGAAAGUCCAGGGCUCAACCCUGGAAUGCCGGUGGAAACUGUCGGGCUCGAGUCCGGAAGAGGCGAGUGGAAUUCCUGGUGUAGCGGUGAAAUGCGCAGAUAUCAGGAGGAACACCAAUGGCGAAGGCAGCUCGCUGGGACGGUACUGACGCUGAGACGCGAAAGCAUGGGGAGCGAACAGG